rnacentral:lncRNA from 1 species
AGAAUAUUCUUGCUAACUAAACUAUAGUAGAAGUUGAUAUGGGUGGCAUUGGUCAAUUGGUCAUUGGUUAAAAAAAUGAUUACCAAGAGUUAGUGAUUAAUAAUAAAAUAAUGGGGUUAUAUUCAUCACAAAAAAUCAUUAUGUAAGCAGGACCGAACAUGACAAAGGCAGAAAAUUUGAAUCUGCUAUGUAAAGAGGCAAAAAUGUAAACCUUGGGAGAUUGAAACUUACCUUCAAGUAUGACUUUGACUGAAGGAAGACCUAUCUAGCUGGCAGAGGUACUUCAGCUGGGUCAUACGAAUACAUGACUGGAAGUGUCCUGCCAUACUUGACAACUCUGCCCAGCUCUUGUUUCCACCAGGCUCCACUUGGCCACUAAGUGGAAGUCAUUCGGCAAGUUCAUGAGAGUCACUACUGAGAAGAUAUCCCUUUGGUUGCCCUCGUGACUUUGCCUAUUUCUAGAUGUAUUAUGGAGCAAUGACCUCUCUAGCAGGGCGGUGGUGAUUAGUUGUAACUUCCCCGCCCCCAGGUACUUGGAAAAUGGCCGAAUCAACAACUUAGAGUGAACUAGCCAAGUGUUAAUUAGUUAUAUGGCAUUGAGGUUUACCGUUCCAGGAAUGUAAAUAUUUGGAAUUAUUCCUAUCAGUGUUAUCUAUAUUCUUUUAGAUUUCAGGGAUGGGACCGCUGCAGGUUGACCCAAGGGUAUCCCUAUAAAAGAUCCUUGGAAUCUACAAUUACAAGAGUGCAUCAUCUUUAAAAAAGAGGUUUCAGGGAACAAAUAUCCCUUUUUGUCUAUUGAGGUGGCCUGGUCCCAAAUGUCAUAUCAAGGAAAGGGUUACCUGACCUGUGUAAGACUAGGAACCAGAAAUGUUCCUGGCUGCAUAACCCUAGUCUCGCAUGACUUCUGAUACUGUAGGAAAGCAAGCUGGAAAUUAAUGUGUGGAAUUCUAAGAGAGAUGCAAGCAAAGUGACCAUUUGGGAAGGAAUAAUCCAGAAUGCAAAUACAAACUGAGCCGUCAUUUAUUAUUCAUCCUUGGGUGAGAGGGAGAAGAACCAGGGGUCAGAGAGAGAAGACAUUACAGAUUGAAUGCCAGCUGAAAUAUGGAAGGAAAGGACCGUGUUUUGAAAAUGACAGAGAACUUAGAAUGCAUUCACAGAAGGGUAAAAAGAGAAGAGAGAACAUUUAUAAAGCUAAUUAGAAGAGGAAGGUUCUGAAAGCCCUACUGAAAAGAACACUUUUCAGCUUCCUUUGAGAAGACAUUUUCUAUCUAGCUCCAUUGAAUACGUUUGAACUGGCCUGGAACAGUUAAGAAGGUAAAGGGGUUAGGGAGGUUGAGGAUCAGAAUGGUCUUUGGGGUUUAAAGCCAGGUCCACUUCUACCCAGCUGAGUUGGCUUGGCCAGGUUACUGAACCUCUCCAAGCAUUCAAUUUCUCUAAUUAAAUAGCCGAGGGUGAUUGACUGAAAGGAUUGUUUAAGUGUAAGACCAAGUUCUGUGGGAAGAAGCAUCCUCCAUAGUGCAGCACCUUCGUCACCACUCACUUAAGCUCUAACAUAUGGCAAUAACUUCUGUAUUAUAAGUGAAGAAACUGAGCCUCAGUGAGAGAAAGAGGUUGCUAAAGUUUCAGGAAUUAGCAAAUGUUGGACUUGAGAUUCAAGUGAAAAUGGGUGAAGAAACAUUCCUGUAGGUUAGGGUAGCGCAGUGGGUUGAAUAGCAGCCGCUCAGAAUGUAAGUCCAUGUCCUAAUCCCCAGAGAGUGUCAGUGUUAGCUUAUCAGGAAAAAGGGUCUUUGCAGAUGUAAUUAACUUAAGAAUUUUGAGAUGAAGACAUCGUCUGGGAUUAUCUGGGGAGCCCUAAUUCCAAUGACAGGUGUCCUUGUAAAAGCCAAGCAGAAGGAGAUCUGACUGCCAGAAGAUGAGGAGGCAAGGUGACCAUGGAGACAGUGUGAUGUGGCCACAAGUCAAGGAAUGCUGCCAGCCAGCAGAAGUUGGAAAGGGACAAAGAAGGGGUUCUCCCUGAGAGCCACUGCAGGCAGCACACCCUGCUGGAUUUUCAACUUCUGGCCUCAAAACUGUGAGAGAAUAAAUUGCUGUUGUUUUAAAACACCCAGCUAGUGGUAAUUUGCUAUGGCAAAAACUGAAUACAUGUGGGAACGGCUCGCACUUUGUGAAGGCCUUUGAGCACCUAAAAAAGUGGACACAAUAGUGGAUAGGUCUGAGCCUUGACUAUGUGGUUCCUUCUGGGGGUCAGCAGGUCACCCAGAUGAAACAAACUUUCUCAGGGCCUUAACAAGUAAUGAAGGUACAGCUUUGGUGACUGAGCGCUUCCCUUGGUAUCAACUUCUCUUUCCAAAGAGCCUCAGGAGAUGAGGCCACACAUUCCCAUUUUGCAGAUGAGCAAACAGAAGUCCAAGAUAGUUACAUAAUUAGCAUGCACCACUGGCUUGCUGAGGUAGAGGGCCAUCAUUUGAAUUCACACAUGGUAGAUGAAUUCUCCCACCGGGAGAGCCAGUCCCCAGGAUCAGGCCAUAAAUAACCUCGCUGCGUUCUGUCUUUGGGGGCUAAGCAUUGCUGAAAAUCACAAGGCUAGUCAUGUUAGUCAUGUUACCACACCUUGUUAUCCUAACAACUUAGGCUGCUGUAGAAUAAGCUUGAAUUCUCCUCACACUCCGAGUACUCUGGCUUCCCCUUGGGACGGACGCUGGGGCUGAGCUGCCAGGAGAGUUUUCCCUAAGUGUAGUGUAUAACAGCCCAGUGGGUUAGGUGGGAUCUGGUCCAUCCUAUGGCUUCUAGAUAAACAGACAGGAGGAAAGAUGGAGAUGUGAUGGAAGGGAGAACUCUGCCAGCAGAGGUUUUUAAAUACUAACAUAAGUUGUGAAGGCCUCAGCGUUAUUAUGGGUCUUCCAAAAGAAGGAGAAAGGCCAUUCUGCACCCUCUUCAGCUUUGCUCUCUGAACCGUGGGUUGGGGGAUUUCCCCCAAAGCCUUCUUCUCUCCUCCAUUCUAGUUCUAGUGCCUGAAAUGUUGCCCACAGUAGCGGCCAGUGCACGGCCUCUGGGUUUGUGUAGACUUGGGUUCAAAUCCUGAUUCUAUAAUUUGCUGACAAAGCAAUCUUCCGCAAGAAAGUUAACCUCUUAGCUACUGUUUUGCACCUGUACAAUGGUGGUAAGUCUCUUUGGCAGGGCUGUGGUGAAUUCAGGGCACAUAGUAGAUACUCAACAAAUCUUUUUCACAGGGGUGAAGGAUGAUAACAGCUAACAUUAAAUGAGCACACUGUGCACCCCACACACUUUACUUGGACUAUUUCAUUUCAUUCUCACAACCACCCUAUGGAGGUAGGUACCAUUAUUAGCUUCAUAUUGUAAAAACUGGGUGUUAAGAGGUAAAGCCAGGUGUCCACAUGCCCAUAGCUCAUAGCAGGCAGAACCUGGCUCUGUGUCUGGCCUGUCUCCAAAGACCAGGCUCUUCGCUGUAUUUAAAGUGCCUAUCAUAGCACCUGAUACUCACCAGGCAUAUUAAAUGAUGAUAAUUAGUAUGAAUUCAACAAACAUAUAUAUUGAGGGCAACUAUGUGCCAGGCACUAUUUACCCAUAAAAAUAUCUAAACAAGUAACCUGGUCACAGGUGGGAGCACUACACUGUUGCAUCAGCCAGCUUUGGUCAGGGAAGUGGUACCACCGUGAGUGAUGUGGAGGAAGGGAUUGAUUGCAGAGAUUAGACCUUAUCCAGUUGUGGAAGCUGGUGAAGAAUCUCUAGAAGGCUGCUGCCUCUGCAUCUGAGGAUGGGUGUGAAGUUGCCGUAAUGCCAAAAGGCCGGAGGAAAGCAGGACAUGAUGUGGGAGAGAGUGAGGCCAAAGUGGAGCCCACAAGGACAAAUAAAACCCUUGUUUGCCUUUCACCACUUCCGAUCUCGACCAUGAAACAUAAAGCUGGAAUCUUGACUACAGAGCUGGACACGUACUUUGCCCAGGCCUCAGAGUAGCUGAAGGAGGAGAUCUAGCAGGAGCUGGAGGAGCUGUGGGCUCCACCAUCAGGGUGAGCCAGCAAUUCGGUGACAAUGAGCGCAUGCUGCUGCUUCAUGUCCACCUUCCAGAGGCUCCACAAAUACCUGUUGUGGACAACCUUAACGCAGAACCACAUAAGGAAGGCAAUUCUGGGAAAUAGGUUCCAGCUUAGUGAAGUUGACCUAAUGCAAAACCACCACACUGAUGUUCCCAUCGCUGGCCUUUGAGAAGGAACGGUUGUGCGUGGCCCUAUGUGGAGAUAAAGAAGGUAAGGUGUCAGAAGGCACAUUUAAGCUGGGCUUUCUGACUCCACUCUUCCUACUCUGGCUUGCUAAUCAACUUUACCUGGUUUGAAAUGCCCACCCUUAUAUACAGGCAAUUAUGUGGAUUAGAAAUUAAGGAUGAAACAUCUUCCCAAAAGGUCACUGUUAAGAUUUACCCAUCAUCUUGGUGCUCCUAGCUCUCUACGACCAACACAGAGUGGCUGACACUUCAACCAGGCAGCUUGGAUUGCAAUGAGGACAAUGCAAUGCAUUUGGGCUGGAAACACUGCACAGAAUUUAACUGUAUGAAUGCACUCUAGUUCAUCUAUGCGGUGGUUAAGAGCGUAGGCUCUGAAGACUGCUAGGGUUCAAAUCCCAGGUCUUUCAACAUCAACUGGCUGUGAAACAUGGGCAAGUGAGUAAACGUUUCUGUGCUUUGGUUUCCUCACCGGUAAAAUGUGGAUAAAAGCAAUUCCUUCACAGGGUUGUUUGGAGGAGCAAAUGACUUUAUGUAUGUGAGGCACUUAGAAUAAUCUCUCAGUGUUAUUAUUUAACCAACAUUUUUGUUGAAUAUUUAGUUCAUUUCCAGGUUUUCACUCUUACAAAUAUACUGUAAUUAACAAAUUCAGUGCACUCUUAAUUGCUUCCAAAGAAAAUAUCUGUGGUCACAUUUAAAAAUCUUUUCCAGAGUGAAUCAUGCACUCAACACAAAUUGAGUGUCCAUAUGUACAAGGCAUUAUGUUAUGCACAAAGAAUAAACACAGUUCUCUUCUUGAAGACACCUAAAAUGUAGUAAGGAAGAGGAGAGAAAAAGGCUCAUGCAAAUAUAAGCAAAAUACUAUGCAGAAAGAGGGCACACAUGAAGACCUAUGGGAGAUUCUUUAGCUGGAGAAUCAAAUCAUUCAAUGACAGAGAAAUGCAGACUCCCUCCUCUGCUCCCACCACCUCCCAAAUCCCCAAAUCGGAAUUCACAAUGGUCUCCUUUUGUCAUGUUGAGAAUUUGUUACCUCGAAAGAGCACACCCAGGGCUGUGUUCCAAAGUUAAAAGCUGGGAUAUGGGCGUAUACUGCAAGACCAAAUAUUUAGGAAAUACCUUUUUCUGGAAAGGAAAGAACACAUUUCACAGCUGAAAAGAGAAGUGAAAAAUGAAACUAAAGAAGCGUGGAGGUAAUAUUUACUUGCUAGAUUUAUACAGUGCCUACCUUUAGAAAAGCUGGGCUAUAAAUCCUGCACGUGACCCCCUAACACACAUACACUCUGUUCCCAGUGACUUGGCUCUUUGUGAAUUAUCUGCAGCAUAUUUUGCAAUCAUUUCACCCUGUUCAUCUCCCUGCAGCCCUGCCCCCACCAGCUCACCCACACUUCACCCCUCAGAAGAAUGAGUAAGAUAAUAGUAGAGACUGAGUUUGGUGUCAGAUAUGCCUGGGCUAAGUCCAGGCUCCACAUUUACUCAGCUGGGUGACCCUGGACAUUGUAAUUCAAGUCUCGAAGUCUCAGUUUCCAUAUCUGUAAAAUGGGGAUAAUCAUGACGAUAACACAUAGCUUAUUGGAUCGCAGUGAGGAUUAAAUAAGAUAAAGGCUGUAAAGGGCCUAUCACAGUACCUGGCACAGAGCACUCAGUAGUGUUAGCUAUUAUUAUUAUUCCUGCACUUGUGUGUAAAGGGGAUGCAAACCAAUUUUACUAUUCAUUUAAACAAAUUAUCAGCUACAGCAGCCUCUGAAACACAGGCCUAUAAUGCAUCCUAAAGUAAAUGCGAAAUAUUUGAAUUUGUGUCAUUUCUAAUUUUCUCUAUUAAGUUGAAAAUUGAGUAUGAACACACCAGAAUGGCAAAGAGGCCAGAUUUCUCUUGUAACCAACAAAAUUGAGAUCGCUAUUAACAUUAGAAUGAAGAUGACCGAAACAGCUUAAUACUUCUCCCAGGGGCACUUGCAUUUUACACUGGGGCCAGAACCACUGGACAAAGGAAGGAAACAGGAGUGGUAAGGUUUCAGGUACCAAGGGACGGACAGAUGCAUUUUCAUAGGGGGAAUUGCAACACUCCUGAAAGUAUCUCAGGCACUCACUCAUUUAUUCAAUACAUAUUAUGUACUUACUAUCUGCCAGAUACUGCUCUAGGCACUGGUGAACAAAAUAGAUGAGACACCUGCCUUCAUGGGGGUUACAUUUUAGUGGGGGGAUACAGACAAUAAGCAAUAAAGUUAAUGAAUAAGUAAACUAUAUAGUAUGUUAGACAGGAUUUCAGUAAGAGUAAGGGGAGAUAGGGAGCGCUGUGGGGGUCUGUCAGUACUGAAUCAGGAUGAGGUCCUGGUGAGCCUCACUGAACAGGUGAGAUUUGCGGAAAGCCUUGAAGAAGCCGAGGGAGUUUGUGUUUCAGGCAGUGGGAAUAGCUAGAGCAAAGGCCUUACAAUGUGCGUGUGUGUUGAGGGGUCAUUCCUGGAGUGUCUGGGGCCCAGCCAGGAGGCUAGUGUAUCCCGAGUGAGGGGGACAGCAGUAGGAGAUGAUGUAAGGGGAUUUGUACUCAGCCAUUCCUGUAGGUCACCACAAGGACCAUGGCUUUUACUAAGUGAAAUGGGUAACCAUGGAUGGUUUUGAGCAGAGGAGUGCUGGGAUGUGAUGUUUUAAAUGGGUUACUCCGACUGCUGUAUUGAGAAAAUACCAGAGGGGAGAGGGAAGGUAGACCAGGGGGAUCAGCCACAGGAGAAACCUGGGUGAAGGAUGCUGGUUCAGCCCCAGGUGGUGGCAGUGCAGGAAAUGAGAAGUGGUCAGGUUCUGAAUUCACCUGAAGGUAGGGUCAACAGGAUCUCCUGAUGGACUAGACGUGGAAUGAUGAGAGAAAGGAGUCAAGAGUGACUCCAGGAUUUUGAACUGAGCAACUAGAAGUAUGGGAUGGUCAUCGACUGCGAUGGGGAAGGCUGUGUGAGGAGGAGCAGGCUUUGAAGAGAUCAGGAAUCCAGUGUUUGGAUGUAUUAGGCUUGAAAUGUCUAUCAGACGGAGUCAGCUGUAGUCUGGAAUUCAGGAGAGAGGUCUGGGCUGGAGAUAGACAUUUGAUAUAGACAGCUGCUGAAAGCCACGGGAAUGGUUAGGGUCACCCAGGGAAUGAGGGUGGAUGUGGAGGCGAGGAGGUCUUAUGUGGAGGCAGGUAGAGGUUUUCCCCAAGAGGGAGUUGUAGGCCCCCCUGAAAGGGAUCACGAAGCCCCACUGGAGGGGAGCCCGGUCCUGCAGGGGGUGCCGUGGAACUUGCUGUGGUUGCAGGGAGUGAUGGAGGGAAGUGUUUGCUUCUCCGGGAAGGAGAGGUGCUGGAUAGAUUCCUGCCGGAGUUGCAGAAAUAAUUAAGAGAAGUAGGUAAGGAUAUCCUAGUAGAACACGUGCUCGGCUGCCUCCAAGGAAUUAUUAAACCUGGGUCUAGGAAUCUGUUCAGACAUCUGGGCACCGCUGCCUCGCCUACCAGGCUCCGCCUCGCUGCCCCUCCCGCUUCCCCUCCCCUCCUCUAUCUGUCACUUCUACAACCGCUCUGAUUAUAAUUGAUCAAACAGAAUCACGGAAUCACGGCUCAUCUUGCCGUUUUGUUCAGUGGCCCGAUCCGAAACGAGACUCUGGUAGUCGGGCAAAUUGUAUUCCUCCUCCUUGGAAUUCCGCUCACAGAGGCCUUCCCGGCGUGGCCGGCCCAGCAGGGACGCGCCGCCGCAGCGGAGGAGAGAAC